UACCAAAUAGCAAACUGGUAAGGUGUUGGUCUUGCAAACCAAAGCUCAUGGGUUCAAACCCUGUCUGUGCAU